GCGUUUCUAGCUCAGUUGGUUAGAGCGCCACCUUGACAUGGUGGGGGUCGGUGGUUAGAGUCCCAUUAAACGCACCA
rnacentral:tRNA from 1 species